rnacentral:tRNA from 1 species
GGGUCGUUAGCUCAGUCCGGUAGAGCAGCGGACUCUUAAUCCGCGGGCCAAAGGUUCGAAUCCUUUACGACCCA